AUAGCGUAUAUUAAAGUUGUUGCAGUUAAAAAGCUCGUAGUUGAACCUCGGGCCUGGCUGGCCGGUCCGCCUCACCGCGUGCACUGGUCCGGCCGGGCCUUUCCUUCUGGGGACCCGCAUGCCCUUCAGUGGGUGUGCUGGGGAGCCAGGACUUUUACUGUGAAAAAAUUAGAGUGUUCAAAGCAGGCCUAUGCUCGAAUACAUUAGCAUGGAAUAAUAGAAUAGGACGUGUGGUUCUAUUUUGUUGGUUUCUAGAACCGCCGUAAUGAUUAAUAGGGAUAGUCGGGGGCAUCAGUAUUCAAUUGUCAGAGGUGAAAUUCUUGGAUUUAUUGAAGACUAACUACUG
rnacentral:rRNA from 1 species